rnacentral:rRNA from 1 species
UACGAGGGGGCGAGCGUUGUUCGGAAUUAUUGGGCGUAAAGGGUGCGUAGGCGGUUUGGUAAGUCUUAUGUGAAAUCUACAGGCUCAACUUGUAGUCUGCAUGAGAAACUGCCGGGCUUGAGUAUGGGAGAGGUGAGUGGAAUUCCUGGUGUAGCGGUGAAAUGCGUAGAUAUCAGGAGGAACACCAAUUGCGAAGGCAGCUCGCUGGGACGUUACUGACGCUGAGACGCGAAAGCGUGGGGAGCAAACAGG